rnacentral:tRNA from 2 species
GCCUCCAUUGUCUAGAGGCCUAGGACGCCGCCCUCUCAAGGCGGAAACAUGGGUUCGAAUCCCAUUGGGGGUGCCA